AGGAAAAUUUGUUGAAUUUUCAAGAAAUUGGUGACUAAAGGUGGUGAGCCCUCGAAUAAGGGCAAAGGUAUUGCACCCGAGGAUCAAGACUAGGAGUGUUGUAAAUUCCCGUCAAAAUGAGUUCAGGAUAAUUUGUAGGCAGUCGAUUUCAUCAAGGAUUUCUUUUUUACUUACUUCCUUGAAAAUUGUAGGUCUACAUUCUUGCACACUUUUGGUUAU